rfam:Vigna angularis cultivar Jingnong 6 scaffold866_8, whole genome shotgun sequence.
AGGUGUGAUCAUCCCAGCACUAAUGCACCGGAUCCCAUCAGAACUUCGUAGUUAAGCGUGCUUGGGCGAGAGUAGUACUAGGAUGGGUGACCUCCUGGGAAGUCCUCGUGUUGCACCAC